CCACUUGAUGAAUGGCACUGGGCUCCGACAGCCAUCUUUGGCUGGUCUUGAUGGAAAUGCCCUAUGGAGGCAGGCCUAGAAAACCUCGCCCACUGAUC
rfam:Capronia semiimmersa strain CBS 27337 unplaced genomic scaffold supercont1.1, whole genome shotgun sequence.